rnacentral:sRNA from 1 species
UAUCUUCUGAAUUGUCUUCCCAGAUUCAGAUUGUUCUUUAAAACCAUGAAUGGUCAGGUACCUCUACUUUCAAGAAAUCAUUUACUUAAUGAAAUUUAGUAUUUUUCCUGUGUGAAAAUCUAUAAAGAUUACAGACUAGCAACGCUCAAGCCUCAGUUAGCUUACAGAGAGAUUUUUGGGCCCUCUAGUGUUGUCCUAUGCACUGACAACUUCUAAAAAUCACAAGAUUUCACAAAAAGACCUGAGCUGCAAUACAAAUGAAGAUCAGGUCCUCUGAGGCCCUGGCUGGGGCUUCAUGGUGGCUGCUCCUGUAGUUGGGGCCCAUGAUGGGGCCUUCAUGCGCUCACCUGCCUGUGGUUCCUCGUUUUUCUUACACCUAUUUCUUUUUUUUAUUUUUUUGAGACUGAGUUUUGCUGUGUGGCCCAGGCUGGAGUGCAGUGGCACCAGCUCAGCUCCCUGCAACCUCCACCUCCUAGGUUUAGGCAAUUCUCCUGCCUCAGCCUCCCGAGUAGCUGGGAUUACAGGAGCAUGCCACCACACCUGGCUAAUUUUUGUAUUUUUAGUAGAGAUGGGGUUUCACCAUGUUGGUCAGGCUGGUCUUGAAUUCCUGACCUCAUGAUCUGCCCGCUUUGGCCUCCCAAAGUGUUGGGAUUACAGGCGUGAGCCACAGCACCCGGCCUACACCCAUUUCUUUAAAAUGUCACUCAUUUGUCUUACUUGCUUGGUCCAGGAAAGCAGUUAGAUUGGUCCUCUCUAAUCAACAGCUGUCAAGUUUUUUUCUUUUUUUUUUAAAUCAUAAGUGCCUGUCAAUAACACUUUUUAGACCUAUACCUAAUAUAUGUAUAUUUACUUAUAAAUUUUAUGCAUGUGUAUAUUACUGAUAGAUAUUUUUUAAAGGCUGAAAUAACGAUGAAACAAAAUUUUAAAAUAAUGUGAUCACUAAAUUAUUAAAUUUUAGUGAAAGCAGUAGGAUUGAAUAUAUUUUUUUAUUUUUGAAAAUCUUGAUUGGAUACUGUGUGUUAUAGCAAGUCAGGUCUGUUUCUAAAUUAAACUUUUUUUUUUUUCUUUUCUUUUUGAGAUGGAGUCUUCUUGCUUCUUUGUCCAGGCUGGAGUGCAGUAGUGCAAUCUUGGCUCACUGCAGUCUGUGUCUCCUGGGUUCAAGCAGUUCUGCCUCAGCCUCCCCAGUAGCUGGGAUUACAGGCAUGUGCCACCAUGCCCGGCUAAUUUUUGUAUUUUUAGUAGAGACGGGGUUUCACCCUGUUGGCCAGGCUGGUCUCGAACUCCUGACCUCAAGUGAUCCACCCGCCUCGGCCUCCCAAAGUGCUGGGAUUAUAGGCGUGAGCCACCACACCUGGACAACAUAAAUCAUUUUUGACAGGAAAACCACAUACUGAUGGAAAUACCUCUGAACAGUUAUUCUCAUAAUGCUUUCAUCAGUUUUUUUAAAUUAUUAUUAAAAGGCAGUUCUUAUUGUUAAAAUGUCAUUUCUUUCAAGACAUGUGUUAUGUUAGUAUAUUCUCAUCAGUAUACUAAGGACAGUCACUGGCCAUUUAAAGGGUCAAUAAAUUUGAAUUACCUUUUUUAAAAAGUGUAUUAUUUUUUAUUUUAUUUAUUCUUACUCUUUUUUUUAGACGAAAUCUCACUCUGUCACCCAGGCUGGAUUGCAGUGGCACAGCCAUGGCUCAGUGCAGCCUAGAACUCCCAGGCUCAAGUGAUCUUCUCACUUCAGCCUCCUGAGUAGCAGGCGGUACAGGCACAUGCCACUACAUCUGGCUAAUUUUUUAAUUUUUUGUAGUUAUGGGGUCUUCUCCCUAUGUUGCCCAGGCUGGCCUUGAACUCCUGGGCUCAAGCAUUUCACCCACCUUCGCCUCCCAAACAAAGUGUUGGGAUUACAGGCAUAAGCCACCAUGCCCAGCCUGGAUCACCUUUUUGUUAAAAAAAAAAAAAAAAAAAAAAAAAAAGUACAAUUCAUGUUUUUAAGUUCACCAACUCUUAAGUACUUUGCUAUAAGAUAAUUAGCACAUUUAUUCUGUGUUACAAAAAAAUUUUAUCAUUAUUUCACUCAACAGAUUAUAUUGUAGGUAAUGAAAUAUGUUAAUCAGUUAAUCAGUUUAACUGGGCACCUCACCUAUUCAUUUGUUCAUUACAGCAAAUUGCAACAUAUAGCAGUUAACAUGUGCCUUGUCUUGUAGUAGUUGCUAAUUUCUAUGGUAUAAAUACUCUUACCUUGGCUGAUUUGAAGUUAUCAACAUGAGUCACUGAACACGGAUUUGGGAAGAGAUACACAGUUGUACACCAUUACAUAGUAAUUUCAACAUCAACAGUAGAUAUAGGUAACCUCAAGUUAAUAGUAAAAUACAAAUUAGGAAGUAAUGAGUUUAAGGUAUUUAUUGCAUGGAUUUUUAAUAUAAUUUUAAUUUAUUUAAUUUGAAGUUUAUGUAAUUACAUCUUUAAUAAUGGCUAUGUUUAACAACAAGCUCACAACAUUCUGAAAAUGUAGAAAUCGGCAUUCAUGAGCAGGUGUGAGUGGCUCCAACAUGCCCGUCUGUGGGCCUUGUAGGACAGUCUGAGAACUUUGCCUUUUACUCUGAGUGAGAUGGGAAGUGUUGGAGGCUUUGGAGCGAAGGGGUGACAUGUUCAGUUGGUUUGAGUGUUAGUUAACACAAUCACCUGCUGUGCUGGGACUAGCACAUGGGGAAGAGAAUAUGGCAGCAGGGAGAAUAUUUAGGAGCUGAUGUGGAGAAUCCAGGCAAGAGACGAAGGUGGUUGGCAGUAGGGAGUAGCCAGGGCCGAUGGCAAGUACUGACCAGACUCAAGAAUCUGUACAGGAGGCAGCGAGGGAUCAUGUGUUUCAUGGUUCUGUGAUUUAUUGAGGUCUGAGAAAAUAACCAGGCUUUUUUCCCUCAAUUAUCUUUUUUUUUUUUUUUUUGCCAUUGUUAGAGAUGAAAUAGUGUUCAACUGAACCAGCAUCUGACCUAGUUUGACAAAUCUUUGUAUUGAUUUCAAAAUCACUGUGUACCAGGGAGAUGAUAUGACGUUCUUUUACUAAAGUGGGUGAUGAUGGCAGUUUGAAUGGGAUAAUUCCUCACUGCAGAAGAUCCACACAACAGGAUGUCUCGAAUCCCCUGCCCCAGUCCCUAAGUGCCAGUAAUACCUCCUGGUUACUGCCACACCCAAACAGCCCCUCCAUCCAUGCAUAUUUUGGCUGAAAGCCAACAACCUGUGUCUUCUAACAGAGCAUAUGGUUCUUUUUCUUCCCCUGACAGUAUUAUGCCUACCUGUAUUCUUAUGUGAUGCCCCAGGCCAUCCGGGACAUGGUGGAUGAAUACAUCAACUGUGAGGACAUCGCCAUGAACUUCCUUGUCUCCCACAUCACUCGGAAGCCCCCCAUCAAGGUGACCUCACGGUGGACAUUCCGAUGCCCAGGAUGCCCUCAGGCCCUGUCGCACGAUGACUCCCACUUCCAUGAGCGGCACAAGUGCAUCAACUUCUUCGUGAAGGUGUAUGGCUACAUGCCCCUCCUGUACACGCAGUUCAGGGUGGACUCUGUGCUCUUCAAGACGCGCCUGCCCCAUGACAAGACCAAGUGCUUCAAGUUCAUCUAGGGGCAGCGCAAGGUCUGGGGAAGAGGAUGAGCAGAGGGAGGAAGAUGGCUCCCAAGGUUCUUAGGCAUUGCAGGACCUUGGGCACAUCUGCUGGGUGGGUGGCCCAGACCCUCUGCUGGGAGGGGCAGCAGGAAGAGUGGAAGGAAACCGCUGCCUUUAUCUUGAAGUCGGCCACACUGGGCCUGGAGCCCUGGGCGGAGGCCCCGGGGUUCCCCACACAGGGCACUGACUGAUAGCUUACACUGAGGACUGUGGCGACUCUGCAGAGUCACUCACACCGUUCAUAUGCCCAGGACAGCUGGUUCGUGGUUUUUAAAUUCAAUAACAACUAUUAUGAUUAUUUAAAAAGAGAAAGUUUCAGAUUUGCCAUUCAAGGCUUAUUUAUAUAUAUGUGUGUGUAUAUAAAUAUAUGCACACACACUUGCAUACAUAUAUAUUUUUGGCUGGGGGAGUGUGAGUUUUGCCUCUCUAAGGGAGGGACCGCGCAGGCUCCUUUGUUCUGUAUUCUGGCGGAGAUGGGUCCUGGCCUUGUGUCACUGGCUUAUCCUUAAAGAUCAUCUCCCAUCCUCCCCAGCGCCAUCUGUGUGCAGAAACCAGAAAGGGAUGAACUUGGCCCUCUUACGGGCCUGGAUGAGAUCUCUUCCUUACCCUUUCUGUUGCCAGUCAGCAACCUGUAACUCACAUUCUCUUUCCAGUGAAUCCCUGGGAGCGCCUGACCCUGGUGGGCUGCUCAGCUUCCUGCUGCUGGGGCCAGUGAUUUUUGAGGAUUUAUCUUAAGCCAGGCUUGCCUCAGUACUUAUUCCUGCUCUCCCAUUUCUCUCUUGUUUGAGAGAGAAUGAGGAAGCAAAGAAUGAGAAAGAAUAGGGCCUGAAGACGCCACUCCCAGAUGGCUCUUUCUGUCCUGCUCUUCUGUUGAAACACACGUGCUAUGGGCUUCAGGCUUUUCUGAAGUGCUCUUUCUUGGAUUGGAUAGGAAAUCAGUAGGGUGCACAUCUGCUGUGGUCUGAAGUGGUUUAUAGGUCAGCCUCCUCUCCCUGGUAUAGAGCAAGCCAGUGUCCUUCGAGGACCCCACCCGGCUGGCCGGGAAGUUUUACAGCAAGGCGCCUGCCUUGGGAUAAUUCCUUGGUGAAAUUCACCUUCCCCCCGCCUCUGUCUGGAGCCCCAUCCUGUGUUAUCUGUGGUUUUUGGACCCCUAAUGUCAGCUUGGCUGUAGGACCCCCUGAGGUUUGGUAUGUGCUAGAACAAUGGGAGGCCAUGAUUUGCUGUGUAAGCUCACAUCCAGCCUUGGAGUCUAACAGGCAUUCACACCCCGAGUUACCACUUUCCACUCCCCGCUUAGGAUUCUGUUCCCUGGGCUGAAACUGAAAUAAGCUCAUUUUUUGGGUCAUGGUGGCCGUAGGGGAACCUAGGAGGGUGUGAGUGGCAUUUGUCAGGGAUUUAGCCUGUUUCUUGAACCCUACUUUCUCGAAGUGGAGUUGACUCUGGAAGUUUUCUAGCAACUGAACAAAAGCUCAGGUCUGUCCUGGUCAUGCACAUGCCUUAAGCCAGUUCCGUCUUCCCUAGACCUUGGCAUCCUGUGCUUCUAUUUCUCGGAAUACGUUCUCCUCUGACCUGCCUGUACCACGUGGGUCCUCUUCAAGUACUGUUUUGAAGCUGGGCUCUUUUGUUUCGCUCCCACCCACCUGUAGGGCUAGCUCGGCUUAAGGGAACUCUCCCCAUUGGCAAACCGGACCCGGCCACCGCCAGGACUGUGUUUCCAAAGGUUCCCCCUGGCAUCAGCCUGUAGCUCCCCUGCUGAGGCAGUGUGGUUAUGUUCCCAGCAGUGGGGGGUCGGACGCCCUUCCUCAGAACUUUCUAGUUGCCCUCUACCUGACUCCUGACUUGUAUUCCUUUUAGCAGUAGCCUUCUUCCCUCGGGGAGCCAAAGAGUGUGAUGUGUGGCGCUAUAUUGUAGCUGCUAUUUUCUCUGGUUUCUUUUAAUGUGAGGAACUCAUAUACUGACUUCAGCGGGACUCGGUGAGCCAGGGCCAUCUGUGUGCUGGGACCCCCUUUAGUGGGACUUAGUGAGCAAAGGUCGUCUGUGUGGUAGGGCUAGGGCCUGUCCCUUUAGUGGAGCCAGGUUGUCGGGCCCCGAAUGUCACUGGUGGAUCUAAGAAGGGCUGAGUGGUCUGACACCAAAACGUGCUACAGGGAGGGCUGUGGUGCCAGUGCUUCCAACAAGGACAGCCCUCCUUGACCCUGAAAGGAACACUGGCUUGAAGGACUGCACACAGGCUCUGAGGGGCACGCCCUCCUCAGCGAGAGGCAGCAAGGUGGCCGCAGUGUCACUGGUCAGGUGCUUCUCACCAUGGGAAAGUUGCCGACCUGUGACUUGCUUGAGAUGGGAAAGCAGCACCACAGACCCCGGGUCUCCUUGGCUGUCUGUGGGCCGCCCCUGGCCACCUUGUCCUGGCUCGCAGGGUGCAGGACUGCCUCGUUCUCUGGGUGGCCGGCUUGCUGCUCUGGUUUGGGCCGUCCUACUGUAAUGCCAUCCCAGGGCUCCGCAGGCCACUGUGAGCUCUGGCUCCCUGGGUAGUGCUCCUCCAUGUGGACUGUGCCUCAGGCCAGGGCUCACCAGCUGGGGUCCUGUCCAGAAGGAUGGGAUCUUUCUGAGAGCUGCGCCGGACAGAGUGGGGAGCUCCUAGUUCGGAGGGGGAAGCUUUGAUAUCCAUGCCACAUCCAUCCACCCUACCCCUUUUCGUCAUGAGCACAAUGGUCUUACAUUGGAUUUUUGUAAAAAAAUAAAAAUAAAUGGAGACUUUAACUCAAGCAGCUUGGAGGUCUUUUGUGGUUUUCCUUGGCAGGUAUGGAAGAGUGACCUGAGAGGAGGCACCUGCUUGAUUGCUUGAUUCCAGGUAGCCACCUGUGUAUGCCAGCUGGGCCUGCUCGCAGAAGAUGAUGGGAGGCAGCGUGACCAGGCCCUGGUGUGGGCUGUGGACCAGAGAUGGGUGAACAGACUCACACUCACACGGGCAGCCUUGUCUGUGCCCGGUUCCAGGGCAAGUCAUUUUGACUAAACAGGAACUUAGGGGCUGUUGAGGUGCUUUAAGCAGGAUGUGGAAGGGCAUGUGGCCCAUAUAUGCAAAGUUAAUUUUUUCAUGGGAAUUUAAAAGAGUGUGUGUGUGUGUGUGUGUGUGUGUGUGGAGUGGUUGUGGGGAGCUGUGUGUGCCUGCGAUCCCAGGACAGGCGAGGCCUCACUGUGAAUGGCUCAAUUCGGUCCAUAGGUCAUGCCCCUGACCUAUAGGUCACUAAGGCACCUGUACCUGCACUGAGCUCACACUCCCCGACUGCAGAGCCCCAUCCUGUUGGUACCCACAGGCCUAUAACUUGUGCUUGACUGUGGGAUCAGAGGCUUCCUCAGGAGAGGGCACUGAGCUGUGGGCUUCGGGGAGAAGGAUGGAGAAGGGAAAGGGGGUAAAGGCGAUUUCUCCUCUCAUGGGCUCUGCAGGUAGCAGCUUCGGUCACACUGACAGUUCUAAGAAUGGGUGAGACCUAACAGUCAGUGUCCCUCCUCAAGUGGGGUUCACGACUGAUCAGGCAGGUUUGCAGCAGCUGAUGGGCGAGAUGUCAUCGAGGGGCAUUCCUCUUUGGGUCUGGAGUUUUGGCUGUCAAGCUCCUAUUCUUGCAGCCAUCCGUCUCCAUGUUACGACUGUCCUGGGACCAGAGAGACUUGAGAAGGUGGCAUGAAGCUGUAGAAAAUGUAUCUUCCUAUACACAGAAAGAUGAUGUCUGCUUUGAGUCUAUACCUGUCGAGCUGUGUCUUGGACUUGCGGUCUGCCAAGGUGGUAAAUGUUAGCUGUUGAUGGGAUCAUCGCCGAAGUGGAAGGCUCCACAAGGUUUACAAAAAUGUGUUAAGAAGAAUGUUGAUGGCGGGGUGUGGUGCCUAACGUCUUCAUCUCAGCAUUUGGUGAGGCGGAAGUGGGAGGAUCACAUGAGGCCAGUUCAAGACCAGUCUGGGCAACAUAGCAAGACCCCCAUCUCUACAAAAAAAUUAGAAUGUUAUGAAGAAACUGAAAAGAAGAAAGGAGAAUGUAGCAGGAAAAGGUCUGGGCCCUGGAACAGACUGGGUGCAGAUCCUGGGCUGCCCAUCACACUGGUGGAGAGCAAGUUAUCUAUUAAUAUUUUAGGCUCUAAGCCCACCAUACGGUGGCAAAAGUUGUGCCCAUCUCUUCAGCAUAUGUUAAAAGUUAAAUAACAUAAUAUAUGUAGAGUCCACUGCUUGACACAAUAAAAAUGAACUAUUACUGGAGUAAAAUAGUGUCCAUUCUUCAUGGCUGUUUCUGCCUUCCACUAGGUUUGAGUGCCAGCGCCUGGCUGAGUGCCCUGCUCACCUCCUAUUAGAGCCCCCAUGCUCUGUCACCUCACCAUGCUGUGUGCUGGCCACUGCUCUGCCUCCCACACCGGACUGCAGCCUCUCGAGAACACAGGAGUUCCAUAGUUUUCUCAGGAAUGAAUGCUUUGACAAACUGAAGAGAGUCACUUAGAAAUCACAGCUUAGGCAAAUUGUUUUACCUUUCUUCAUCUGUCUUCACGUUUAUGAAAGAGUACAGGCUGGGUGCGGUGGCUCAUGCCUGUAAUCCCAGCACGUGGGGAGGCCAAGGCGGGUGGAUCACCUGAGGUCAGGAGUUUGAGACCAGCCUUGCCAAAAUGGUGAAACCCCAUCUCUACUAAAAAUACAAAAG